GCUCCCUGACCUGUGCCUGUCCUUCCAGGAGCAGGGAUGAGGGAAACCCUCUCUCCGUACCCAGAGCAGCUCCUGUCCUGCCCUGCCCAGCCCGGCCUCCACGGGCAAGUUCCAGCCUGAGCCGAGGUUUUUGCUGCUGUGUGACCCAUCCCCCGUGUCAGUCACGCUGGGCAGGGCAGGUCUGAUCUGGUCUCCUCUGCCUGAGUUUCCUCCUGCCUCCCUCAGACUGCGGGAUCUUGUGGGGAGAGGUCACGGCUGCCCAGCCGACAGCUCCUGCUGGGAGGAUGUGGAAAUCUCCCUCCACCAGCGCCUGCUUGCUUGUCCCCAGGGCUGGACCAUCCCCCAGCAGCAGCUGGAGGGCACUGCAGACAAUCUGUUCCCAACGGCCUGUGAAGGGAAGGGAUGAGGUGGAGGACUGAGCCAGGGGAGGUCACUCACCCCAGCCCAUCAGUGCCUCAGCCUCAGAGCUGCUCCCAGAUGCUGGAUUAAAGGGUUUCUUUUUUAAA